rnacentral:lncRNA from 10 species
UUAGAUUCCUGACCUGCAGAAACUGAACUCAUAAAUGUUUAUUGCUUUUAAGCCACUAAAUUUUGUGGUUUGAUUAUGCAGCAGUGAUCAAAUGCUCUAUGCUGUAUGAGUAACAACCCCCAUGGUCUCCAAAACAGUAGUGACUUAACAACAACAACAAAAUAUUUCCUUUUACUUACAUUGUAAUCUAAUGGCUCCACUCCAUCCUGAAUCCUGGCUGUGGAUUUCCAAAGCAGCUGUGGCAGGAGAGAGUGGCCUGGAGUAGAAAAUCAAGGACGGGGUGGCGAAGGGGACAUUUUAAAAUCACAAAGCCUGUAGAUGGAUUAUAUCAUUUACCUUUACAUCUUUACCAGCAAAAACUGAGACACAUGCCCCUACCUAACUACAAGCGUGGCUGAGAAAAGAAGAGAAGCACAAGGAUAAUGCUUUUGGGUCCAAAGGAAGGAGACUCUGUAUUUUCUGAAGGCCACACUGCGCCUCUCCCAAGGUAUAAAGGUCAGACACCAGACUGGACUAUCCACACAGAAAAUAACCUAUACUACCAGGGAAGUGAGCUUGGAGAAAGAAGGCAUGUAGAAAAUGGCUUGAAGGAAUUAUUUUUCCUCUGCCUCUGGGAAGAGUGAUUUGCUUUUUUCUCUCUCUCUCUUCUAUAAAGGUACAAGAGAAAAUAAAAUGAUUGUACCUUGAGGGGAAAAAAUGGGGUGAUUCUUUUUAAAGAUUCAGUUGGAGCCAGAAAAUGACACACUUGAUGCUGAGGAAACUCCAAGUAAAAUAUUUUGGCUGUGAUUACUGUUAUCAAGGAAGAACAGGAGGAAAGCUACUACCACAAAGUGAUUAAAGAGACAAAUCUCUGGCCUCCUAUGUGUACCUGGGCACAAGAAUUCUCCAGAUGUCCUCUCCGAAUUGCCAGGGAGGUGAAACAUAUUUAAAAGGCAUGCAUUUUGCAGGACUUUUG